AAGUCGUAACAAGGUAACCGUAGGUGAACCUGCGGUUGGAUCAUUAACUAAAAAAACACCCUUUGAAAAAAAGGUUUUCCUUUCCACUUUUUACACGAAAAACUCUGUUUGGUGGAGGGGGUGAGGAAGGGAGACCUUUUUUUUAAACCCCAAAACUGUUGAACAACCCAUUAAAAACAGAUGGUUUUUGAUGGGGGGGCCCUAACCCGGCCCUCUCUCACUUGCUUCUGUUUUAUUUUUAAACUAUAUUUUAAAAAAGCCUGUCAAGUUUAUUUUUCUUUUUUUUUUAAAAAAAAAGAACAAAUCAAACAACUUUUGGCAACGGAUCUCUAGGCUCUU
rnacentral:misc_RNA from 1 species